ACAGCUAUAUCAUGUUGAAAAUCUGGUGCUCAUCUGAUCACAGAAGUUAAGCAACAUUGAGCCUCAUCAAUACUUAGAUGGAUGACCACUUGGGAAUAUCAGGUGAU